AAUCCUUCAAGCUUUGCUUGGUGUUGGGCGUUUGUUCCGCCUCUGCGCGUGGACUCGCCUCAAAUUCAUUGGCAGCCGGUAGGUUUGGCUUCGUGCGCAGCACAUUGCGUAGCGACUCUAGCCUGCCUCCUUCCAGUAAGCUCCUCUAUUU
rnacentral:misc_RNA from 2 species